CUGAGCCUAAUCUUGGACCUGGAGUCUGAUGUGAUACACCUGCUUAGCCCAGAUGGCUACAGGCAGCAGAGUAACAGCUACCAAGACAGAUGCUUCACUCACGUUGUGAACUGAAGAUUGAUCUGGCUAAGCACAAAUAAGUCCCUCUUGCUGAGCUAACACAGAAGGUGAUCGUUCAAGGGCUGCUGGUAAUUCAGACCUGACACAUAACAAUGUGGACCAACAGAUACCCUUCUUUGUGGCUGCAUUGUGUGCUCUUUAUGUUUAGAAGUCUCAUCAGUAAGCAACGUGUGUAGUCCGAAGAAAGUGUUUGUGUCAAAACACUGUAAACUUAUUCCUGAAAAUGGCUGAGACUGACUACAGGAAGCAUUUUUAAACAUGAUGAAACACAAGAUGCUUAAUCAGAAAUAGAGCAAAUGACAGUGACAUUUUUAUGCUGGGCUUUACCAAAGUAGUGCAGAAUUAUUUCACUUUAAAUUCAUUAAUUUUUAAAGUAGAUAAGUAUGUUAUUUAUUUGCCUGGACACAUUUUAGUUCCAUGCUUUAACUAGAAAUUAAUAGUACUCUUGAUUAUAUUUUGAUUGGACUGCGACAGGUUUUGGCAUCCUAGGUUAAUAUUUUCUUAAGGUAUGGAUUUACAGCCUAUACACUACAUUGUUGAGAAGAAGAGAGCUACUAGGCUACUCAUGAAAAACUACUGGCAAAUGCAAAUAAUGCUGAUUACUUUUCCCUUCUGCUAUUGAUCAAUGUUUCCAAUAAAGAGGUGCUGUAUUUUACUGCUGUUAAAAUUUGAGAUUCUCCCUAUCCUCUUGUGCUCCUCAAACUUCCUUUUAUCUAUAACCAGAGAGAAUAUUUUUGGUUUUGAGGAGAAAAGUCUUUUCAGCAUCACCUUGCAAGUAGGUUAUUAGAGAACACAAGUCCUCCAACACCAUAAUCUGGCUAAUGUUUCAGGGAUGGUUAGAAGGGAAAAAAGAAAGAAGAAAUAAACAACUCCAAAGUAAAUUACCAGUGCAAUGCAAAACUACUUGAAGCUAGAGGAAUACAUUUUCUUUUGAUCUAUAUUGUUAGUAUGCAGACCUGAAUAAAAUUGAUAGAUUAAUUGGAAAAUAGCCCAUAGCACAUUCAUAGAU